rnacentral:rRNA from 1 species
UACGGAGGGAGCUAGCGUUGUUCGGAAUUACUGGGCGUAAAGGGCUCGUAGGCGGCCAACUAAGUCGGAUGUGAAAUCCCCAGGCUUAACCUGGGAACUGCAUCCGAUACUGGAUGGCUUGAAUCCGGGAGAGGGAUGCGGAAUUCCAGGUGUAGCGGUGAAAUGCGUAGAUAUCCGGAGGAAUACCUGAGGCGAAGGCGGCUUCCUGGUCCAGCACCGACGUUCAGGCACGAAAGCGUGGGGAGCAAACAGG